rnacentral:rRNA from 1 species
CGAACGCUGGCGGCAUGCCUAAUACAUGCAAGUCGAACGAGAAAGCUCUUUCGGGAGUGAGUAGAGUGGCGCACGGGUGAGUAACACGUAGGUGAUCUACCCUUUUGAGGGGGAUAACCCAGAGAAAUUUGGGCUAAUACCCCAUAAGCUCGGCAAAUUUGAAAGUAGUCGAGGAAAGGUUGCCUCUGAUUUAAGCAACCACUGAAGGAUGAGCCUGCGCGACAUUAGUUUGUUGGUGGGGUAACGGCCUACCAAGGCGACGAUGUCUAGCUGGUUUGAGAGAAUGAUCAGCCACACUGGAACUGAGACACGGUCCAGACUCCUACGGGAGGCAGCAGUAGGGAAUAUUGCGCAAUGGGCGAAAGCCUGACGCAGCAAUGCCGCGUGAGUGAGGAAGGUUUUCGGAUUGUAAAGCUCUGUCAAGGUGGAAAAACGGCAUAUGUUCAAAUAGGGCAUAUGAUUGAUGGUACACCUAGAGGAAGCACCGGCUAACUUC